rnacentral:rRNA from 1 species
AACGAACGCUGGCGGCAUGCCUAACACAUGCAAGUCGAACGAGACCUUCGGGUCUAGUGGCGCACGGGUGCGUAACGCGUGGGAAUCUGCCCUUGGGUUCGGAAUAACUCGCCGAAAGGCGUGCUAAUACCGGAUGAUGUCGAAAGACCAAAGAUUUAUCGCCCAGGGAUGAGCCCGCGUAAGAUUAGCUAGUUGGUGAGGUAAAGGCUCACCAAGGCGACGGUCUUUAGCUGGUCUGAGAGGAUGAUCAGCCACACUGGGACUGAGACACGGCCCAGACUCCUACGGGAGGCAGCAGUGGGGAAUAUUGGACGAUGGGCGAAAGCCUGAUCCAGCAAUGCCGCGUGAGUGAUGAAGGCCUUAGGGUUGUAAAGCUCUUUUACCCGGGAUGAUAAUGACAGUACCGGGAGAAUAAGCUCCGGCUAACUCCGUGCCAGCAGCCGCGGUAAUACGGAGGGAGCUAGCGUUGUUCGGAAUUACUGGGCGUAAAGCGCACGUAGGCGGCUUUGUAAGUCAGAGGUGAAAGCCUGGAGCUCAACUCCAGAACUGCCUUUGAGACUGCAUCGCUUGAAUCCAGGAGAGGUGAGUGGAAUUCCGAGUGUAGAGGUGAAAUUCGUAGAUAUUCGGAAGAACACCAGUGGCGAAGGCGGCUCACUGGACUGGUAUUGACGCUGAGGUGCGAAAGCGUGGGGAGCAAACAGG